GAUGAACGCUGGCGGCGUGCCUAAUACAUGCAAGUCGAGCGAACGGACGAGAAGCUUGCUUCUCUGAUGUUAGCGGCGGACGGGUGAGUAACACGUGGAUAACCUACCUAUAAGACUGGGAUAACUUCGGGAAACCGGAGCUAAUACCGGAUAAUAUUUUGAACCGCAUGGUUCAAAAGUGAAAGACGGUCUUGCUGUCACUUAUAGAUGGAUCCGCGCUGCAUUAGCUAGUUGGUAAGGUAACGGCUUACCAAGGCAACGAUGCAUAGCCGACCUGAGAGGGUGAUCGGCCACACUGGAACUGAGACACGGUCCAGACUCCUACGGGGGGCAGCAGUAGGGAAUCUUCCGCAAUGGGCGAAAGCCUGACGGAGCAACGCCGCGUGAGUGAUGAAGGUCUUCGGAUCGUAAACUCUGUUAUUAGGGAAGAACAUAUGUGUAAGUAACUGUGCACAUCUUGACGGUACCUAAUCAGAAAGCCACGGCUAACUACGUG
rnacentral:rRNA from 1 species